UGUUAUGGCCACACCAUCCUGAACACACCUGAUCUCAUCUGAUCUUAGAACCUAAGGAGACUUGGGCCUGGAAGAAGCAACGUCAUGGAUGUCCAGGAGCUCACGA
ensembl:rRNA 5S_rRNA 5S ribosomal RNA